GAUGAACGCUGGCGGCGUGCUUAACACAUGCAAGUCGAACGGGAAACCUUUUAUUGAAGCUUCGGCAGAUUUAGCUGGUUUCUAGUGGCGGACGGGUGAGUAACGCGUGGGUAACCUGCCCUAUACAGGGGGAUAACAACCAGAAAUGGUUGCUAAUACCGCAUAAGCGCACAGGGCCGCAUGGUCCGGUGUGAAAAACUCCGGUGGUAUAGGAUGGACCCGCGUUGGUUUAGCCAGUUGGCAGGGUAACGGCCUACCAAAGCGACGAUCCAUAGCCGGCAUGUGAGGGAGAACGUCGACAUUGGGACUGAGACACGGCCCAGACUCCUCCGGGAGGCAGCAGUGGGGAAUAUUGCACAAUCGGGGAAACGCUGAUGCAGCGACGCCGCGUAAAGGAAGAAGUAUCUCGGUAUCUAAACUUCUAUCAGCAGGGAAGAUAGUGACGGUACCUGACUAAGAAGCCCCGGCUAACUACGUG
rnacentral:rRNA from 1 species